UUAGUUGGUGGAGUGAUUUGUCUGGUUAAUUCCGAUAACGAACGAGACCUUAACCUACUAACUAGAUCACCGAGAUUGUCUCGGCGAAGCUUCUUAGAGGGACUAUGUGGUAAAACCUCAAGGAAGUUUAAGGCAAUAACAGGUC
rnacentral:rRNA from 1 species